rnacentral:rRNA from 1 species
AUGCUAAGGUAGUAACAGAUAUAUACUUGAAACUUAAAGAAUUUGGCGGUAUUUUAAUCUUUUCAGAGGAACCUGUUCUAUAAUCGAUAAUCCACGUUAAAUUUUACUAAAUUGUUUGUAUAUCGUUGUCGAAAGAAUAAAUUUUCUAAUAUUUUAAAGAAAAUAGAUGUCAAAUCAAGGUGUAGCUAAUAAUUUAGUAGAAAUGGGUUACAAUAAAUUUAUUUAGGAAAUUAUUAAAGGAGGAUUUGAAAGUAAAUUAAUUUUAAUAAAUUUAAUUGAUUAUAGUUCUAAAAUAUGU